UACGUAGGAGACGAGCGUUGUCCGGAGUUACUGGGCGUAAAGGGUGCGCAGGCGGCCCUGCGCGUCGCGAGUGAAAUCUCCCGGCUCAACUGGGAGGGUGGUCGCGAGACGGCAGGGCUUGAGGCUCGGUGAGGGGCGUGGAAUUCCGGGUGGAGCGGUGAAAUGCGUAGAGACCCGGAGGAACACCAGUGGCGAAGGCGGCUUCCUGGUCUGCGACUGACGCUGUGGCGCGAAAGCUAGGGGAGCAAACAGG
rnacentral:rRNA from 1 species